rnacentral:sRNA from 2 species
GAGUCCGUCGGGCCUAAUCCACGCAGCCGCUGCGUGGAGCCGGGGACCCACUUUCCCCCCAGGGGCGAAUCGGCGCGCCGCGCCGUAGGGCUGUCUUCCAGGCCCGAGCCCGUCAGCUAACCCGGUCGGCCGCAUGGAAGGACAGU